UACGUAGGGACCGAGCGUUGUCCGGAUUCAUUGGGCGUAAAGAGCUCGUAGGCGGCCCUCUCAGUCGGAUGUGAAAUCCCCAGGCUUAACCUGGGAACGGCAUCCGAUACUGGAGGGCUUGAAUUCGGGAGAGGGAUGCAGAAUUCCAGGUGUAGCGGUGAAAUGCGUAGAUAUCUGGAGGAAUACCGGUGGCGAAGGCGGCAUCCUGGACCGAGAUUGACGCUGAGGAGCGAAAGCUAGGGGAGCAAACGGG
rnacentral:rRNA from 1 species